rnacentral:tRNA from 1 species
UCCCUGGAGGACUAGUGGUUAGGCCACGGCGCUCUCACCACCACGGCUCGGGUUCGAUCCCCGGCCAGGGAA